rnacentral:rRNA from 1 species
CUCGGGAAACUGAGAAUAUACUCCAUAGAUUUAAACUGCUGGAAUGCUUUUAAAUUGAAAGAUUUAUCGCCUAAGGAUAAGUCUGCGGACUAUCAGGUUGUAGUUAGGGUAAAUACCUGACUAGCNUACGACGGAUACGGGUAGUGAGAGCUUUAGCCCGGAGAUGAUAUCUGAGACACGAUAUCAGGCCCUACGGGGCGCAGCAGGCGCGAAAACUUCGCACUGUGCGAAAGCACGACGAGGGAAUCCCAAGUGCUGGCUCGUAAGAGUCAGCUGUUUUUCUGUCUAAAAAACAGGGAGAGUAAGAGCUGGGUAAGACGGGUGCCAGCCGCCGCGGUAAUACCUGCAGCUCAAGUGGUGGCCGCUAUUAUUGGGCCUAAAACGUCCGUAGCCGGUUUCAUAAAUGCCUGGGUAAAUCGUACGGCUUAACCGUAUGAAUUCCGGGUAGACUGUUUAACUUGAGACCGGGAGAGGCUAGAGGUACUCCUGGGGUAGAGGUGAAAUUCUGUAAUCCUAGGGGGACCACCAGUGGCGAAGGCGUCUAGCUAGAACGGGUCUGACGGUGAGGGACGAAGCCCUGGGGAGCAAACGGGAUUAGAUACCCCGGUAGUCCAGGGUGUAAACGCUGCUCGCUUGAUGUUAGUCGGGCUCCGAGCCCAACUAGUGUCGGAGAGAAGUUGUUAAGCGAGCU